rnacentral:misc_RNA from 1 species
UUGUGGAGGAGGACGCCGAAGGUGGGGCUAAUGACUGGGGUGAAGUCGUAACAAGGUAGCCGUACCGGAAGGUGCGGCUGGAUCACCUCCUAACAGGGAGACAACAAAAUGUUUAAUAUUAUUAUUUUGUCACCUUAGGUCGAUCGGUAUCUCACAUUCUUAAUUUAUUAAGGAUUUCAUUUCCUAAGUUUUUCUAGGUCACACCCAUUAUUUUUCCUGGGCCAUUAGCUCAGGUGGUUAGAGCGCACCCCUGAUAAGGGUGAGGUCCCUGGUUCAAGUCCAGGAUGGCCCAUAUCUCUAUAUUGGGGGUAUAGCUCAGUUGGUAGAGCGCCUGCUUUGCAAGCAGGAUGUCAGCGGUUCGAGUCCGCUUACCUCCACUGAUUACCACCGCCUCCAUAUUCUGUAGAAAGGAAAUGUUUUGAGUUGUGAUCAAAUUCUGAACGAAUCUAGCUUCCUAAUGAAAUCAUUAAGAUGCUGGACUCAUUGAAUUAAAUUCAUUGUUUUCAGAGAACCUUGACAACUGCAUAGAUUAUUUUUAAAGACAAUAAGCAUCUUUAUUGAUGCAGAUUUAUUAUUUGUGCGAAUGCACUAAUAACAAUUCUAUUAAGCUGAUGCUUCAAUUUUGAAGUUAUUGGUCAAGCUACAA